GACAAGGACCACCUCUAAUGACAUGUUUCUAUAGUCCUUAGUACAGUGUUCGCUGAGACUACUAAGUAUUCCUGUAAUGCAAAUUAUAGCAUGUCUCAUGAAGAAGGGGCUUCCAUGCAUAGGCCACUGAAGCAAAAAUGAAAAGGUAGUGCACAAGCAAAGGAGAUGGACAAUACAAAUGCUUCCACGCAGCCAAUUUGCCAUGAUGGAAGGCCCCCUGGGCUGUAUGAACCGUUCCCUUUUUUUGGAUGAUAUGUUGGUAGUCACGUCUCACAGCAAGCAAUCAGAGGUUUCUGGAGGAUGUGGAACUAGUUAGUUCCUUGUCCAUUAGUACGACUAUAAAAGCACAGCUCCAGUAUGGUACCAGUUGAUGAAACUGCAAAAUAGUAAAUUUAGAUUUCGUAAACAAAAAGCGUUUUCUAAGCAGAAUGCAUAAAAACAGAGACCUUUCUGGGGAGUGUUUCCUCUGAAGUAGCUGGUUUUGGUCACCAUCAGACAGGAAUCUCUAGACUGUAAAUCUGAUCAAAUACAGCAACUUCUGUGCUGCUCACUUACAUCCGUGAGAGUCUGCUGACUUCGGAGUGCACGCAGGGUUUGAUCUAAAGCACACCAUCCAUCUUCAUUGAAGAAGAAGUGUAUUCAUUCUGUGGAGGGGUGAAAAAUUGCCAAACAGGCAAGUUGGUUUGCAGGGCAACAGUUGACUUAUCAGUACUGUGGCACUAGUGUGCAAGACUCUGCAUUUAUUACUGUGUUGUAUGUCUAAAUGUAUCCCAGGUUUUAAAAUUCAUGCACCUCUAGCUCUUCCUUGUAAUUUUCUUCUCGAAACUCAGAGCAAACUUCCUCUCCCAUCCUGACUGUUUAUAAGUAUGCAUAGAAACAAAUGUUUUGUAAAGAUGUGAGAGACAUUCUGCUUUAUUCCCAGGAGCAAAUAAAGCCUUUUAUUUUUAGCCUAGUUUCCUUAGGAAAUGAGACUGAUGCAAUCACAUUGUCUAUUUGUCAGUCUAUCAAACCAGCCCCCUUGCCUCCUUCCCUCCCCCCCAUCAUCUUCUGACCAUUAAUCUUUUUUAGCUGGACACGACCGAAAGGCAAAAGUAUUCCAGAAGUGUUAAAUGUGUGCACGUUUUAUGACAAUCUGUGGCUGGGACAGAGGAGAGACCUUAUCCAUUCCCUCCCUGGAGAAGUCAGCACUGGCUGAAUUCUGCUGAUAGGCAGUAGUAACUUGCUGGCAAGUCAAUUUCUGUGCAGCUGUAACUCUGCUGUGAUGCGUGUAAACUCCUCAAGUCACAAGGAUGGGAAGGGCUGGAAGAGAGGCAGCUGGGGUUGUUGGACUGUUGACUCAACCUCAAAGUGACUGAAUUCUGAGCCAGUGCUAGAGAAGGGGUCAUCACAUCCCUGUUUUGGUUUUUCAACCCAUUUGCUCCACUGUAAAGUAUGGUCCUGAGCAGUGUCUGCAUGUUUCUUUGUUGGAGGGAGAAUCAUAGAAUCAGAAUCGCUAAGGUUGGAAAAGACCCACAGGAUCAUCCAGUCCAACCAUUCGCCCUUCACCAAUGGUUCUCGCUAAACCAUGUCCCUCAACACAACAUCCAAAUGCUCUUUGAACACCACCAGGCUCGGUGACUCCACCUCCUCUCUGGGCAGCCCAUUCCAGUGCCUGACCACCCUUUCAGAGAAGUAGUAUUUCCUAACGUCCAGCCUGAACCUUCCCUGGUGCAGCUUGAAGCCAUUCCCUCUAGUCCUAAUGUAUGUCCUAAUAUAUGAAUGUAACAUAUAUGUGUAACAUGUAUAUAGCAUGAUUACUUAUUUACCUGUAUUUGCGGUGAUGUUUGGAAAGGAG
ensembl:lncRNA